rnacentral:rRNA from 1 species
AGGCCGAAUAUCCAAGGUUUCCAGGGUAAAGCUGAUCUGCCCUGGGUAAGUCGGGGCCUAAGGCGAGGCUGAGAAGCGUAGCCGAUGGACAACAGGUUGAAAUUCCUGUACCUCAUGCAAACAGAACUGUGGGGACACGGAAGGGUAGGAAGAGCCGGGAGUGGAGAGACCGGUCCAAGCGCAAAGGAUAGGGAUGAAGGAAAAACCGCAUCCUGUUUCUGAAGCGUGAAGGGGAGCGAAAAUAAAGUAGCGAAGCUUCCGAACCCAAGCCGUCAAGAAAAGCCGCUAUAGAUUUGCAUGAGCCCGUACCGUAAACCGACACAGGUGGAUGAGGAGAGAAUCCUAAGGCCGGCGGGAGAAGCAUUGUUAAGGAACUCGGCAAAAUGGCCCCGUAACUUCGGGAGAAGGGGCGCCUGAGAGAUCAGGCCGCAGAGAAAUGGCCCAAGCAACUGUUUAGCAAAAACACAGGUCUAUGCAAAACCGAAAGGUGAAGUAUAUGGGCUGACGCCUGCCCGGUGCUGGAAGGUUAAGGGGAGAUGUUAGGGGAAACCCGAAGCAUUGAACUUAAGCCCCAGUAAACGGCGGCCGUAACUAUAACGGUCCUAAGGUAGCGAAAUUCCUUGUCGGGUAAGUUCCGACCCGCACGAAAGGCGUAAUGAUUUGGGCACUGUCUCGACAAUGCACCCGGUGAAAUUGUAGUACCAGUGAAGAUGCUGGUUACCCGCGCCAGGACGGAAAGACCCCAUGGAGCUUUACUCUAGCUUGAUACUGGGACCCGGUAAUGCAUGCACAGGAUAGGUGGGAGGCAAAGAAGCCGCGACUCCGGUUGCGGUGGAGCCGCCGUUGGGAUACCACCCUUGUGUUGCUGGGUUUCUAACACGCAGCCGUAAGCCGGCUGGUGGACAAUGUCAGGUGGGGAGUUUGACUGGGGCGGUCGCCUCCGAAAGGGUAUCGGAGGCGCUCAAAGGUUCCCUCAGAAUGGUUGGAAACCAUUCGAAGAGUGCAAAGGCAUAAGGGAGCUUGACUGCGACACCGACGGGUGGAGCAGGUACGAAAGUAGGACUUAGUGAUCCGGUGGUAUAAAGUGGGAUUGCCAUCGCUCAACGGAUAAAAGCUACCCUGGGGAUAACAGGCUUAUCACUCCCAAGAGUUCACAUCGACGGAGUGGUUUGGCACCUCGAUGUCGGCUCAUCGCAUCCUGGAGCUGUAGCAGGUUCCAAGGGUUGGGCUGUUCGCCCAUUAAAGCGGUACGCGAGCUGGGUUCAGAACGUCGUGAGACAGUUCGGUCCCUAUCCGGCGCGGGCGUAGGAUAUUUGAGAGGAGCUGACCUUAGUACGAGAGGACCGGGUUGGACGAACCUCUGGUGUAUCGGUUGUACUACCAAGUGCACAGCCGAGUAGCCAAGUUCGGAUGGGAUAAACGCUGAAGGCAUCUAAGCGUGAAACCCCCCUCAAGAUAAGAUAUCCCAUGACGCAAGUCAGUAAGACCCCUUGAAGACGACGAGGUAGAUAGGACAGAGGUGUAAGUGCGGCAACGCACUGAGCUGACUGUUACUAAUAGGUCGAGGGCUUGACCUG